UACGUAGGUGGCGAGCGUUGUCCGGAUUUACUGGGCGUAAAGAGCGCGCAGGCGGUCGUUCAAGUCGCGUGUGAAAGCCCCCGGCUCAACUGGGGAGGGUCACGCGAUACUGAUCGACUCGAAGGCAGGAGAGGGUAGUGGAAUUCCCGGUGUAGUGGUGAAAUGCGUAGAUAUCGGGAGGAACACCAGUGGCGAAGGCGACUCUUUGGUCUGUAACUGACGCUGAGGCGCGAAAGCGUGGGGAGCAAACAGG
rnacentral:rRNA from 1 species